GAUGAACGCUAGCUACAGGCUUAACACAUGCAAGUCGAGGGGCAUCAGUUUGGUUUGCUUGCAAACCAAAGCUGGCGACCGGCGCACGGGUGAGUAACACGUAUCCAACCUGCCUCAUACUCGGGGAUAGCCUUUCGAAAGAAAGAUUAAUAUCCGAUAGCAUAUAUUUCCCGCAUGGGUUUAUAUUAAAGAAAUUCGGUAUGAGAUGGGGAUGCGUUCCAUUAGUUGUUGGCGGGUAACGGCCCACCAAGACUACGAUGGAUAGGGGUUCUGAGAGGAAGGUCCCCCACAUUGGAACUGAGACACGGUCCAAACUCCUACGGGAGGCAGCAGUGAGAAUAUUGGUCAAUGGACGCGAGUCUGACC
rnacentral:rRNA from 1 species